AACACAUUUCAAACCUCCACUGGAUAAUGUUCUUGUUUUUCUUCUCAAUCAGCCCCACACCUUCCAGGACAUUUGUGAUGUCGUAUAUCCUCCUCUUCUGCUUCACUGCCAAACUGUCUGCAGCCUGUUAAUUCACACAUAAAAGGUCUUACUCUGUGGAAGCUGGAUGGGAAUUCCUUUUGACAGGGUUCAUCAGACACUUUAAACAGGCAUUAGCAUUAAAACACGACACAAGACUUCAGUGGAGCCAACAAAUGAACGAUUUGGCAAAUUAAGCUGCACAGGCAGCAAAUCAAAGCCUUGGCUGAAGAGGACAUGGAUACAAUAGAGGAUGAAGGAGGAGGGAAAUGGUGUGAGGAGCCUGCUGGUUAAACGUUAGCCAGCUUUGGCGCGCAAGAAGAGAGGGAAAACUACUAAUCACUGAGAAGGAAAGAGUGUACAUUUGUAGAGGACACCUCAGAAGCUGACGCAUCUCCUGCUCCACUUCAAAGACCUGAGGAAGACAUGGUCUUGAUUAGAGGAAGAAGAUUGACUGUACCCACAUAGUUUACGUCACAGGCCUGUCGUACAAGCUCAGCUUGAUGGGCAGCCUGGACAGACUCCAGUUGUUGCCGGAAAGCAUCGUCCACACAGUGCAACUUCUCCACAGCGGUUCUGCAAGGAAGACAGCAACAAUUUAAAAUGCAAAACAAUUAGAUUGUGUCCUUACUGCCUUGAGUAAAAUAAGGUUUUUAGGGGGUGGAUGGACCCACCAAUGAAACAAUGACAUAAAUCUAAACUCGUAUUCAAUGUCAUAUCAUAUGUUUUUGUCUCAAGGGGAUUAAAACCCCUCAAUCAUGAUUUGAAGUCUCUGAAUAGCAGAAGGAAAAAACGGUUAAGAUAGAUUUUCCUCUGGUAAGUGUACCUGUGUGCUUCUGUUGCUUGAUCUCUUUCCUCAAGCAGCAAGCUUUCCUUGGAAUCAAAGUUGUCCUUCAUGCGCUUAACCUGGCUCUCCAACCGAGUGAGCAGGUCUGCCUUCUCCUGCCACUUC